GACGAACGCUGGCGGCGUGCUUAACACAUGCAAGUCGAACGGAAAGGCCCGGCGUUUGUGGGUUGCUCGAUUGGCGAGCGGGUGAGUAACACGUGAGUAACCUGCCCUUGACUGUGGGAUAACUUCAGGGAACUGGGGCGAAUACCGGAGAGGAGCUCCUGCUGCAUGUGGUGGAUUGGAAAGUGUCGGCUGUUGGGGAUGGACUCGCGGCUUAUCAGCUUGUUGGUGGGGUAGGUGCUUUCCAAGGCUUUGACGGGUAGCCGGCCUGAGAGCGUGAACGGGCACAUUGCGACUGAGAUACGGACCAGAAUCCUACGGGAGGCAGUAGGGGGGAAUCUUGCAGAAUGGGCGGAAGCCUGAUGCAGAAACGCCGCGUGCGGGAUGCCGGCCUUCGGGUUGUAAACCGCUUUCGCAUGUGACGAAGAGUGAGUGACGGUACUGGGUAAAGAAGCAACGGCUAACUACGUG
rnacentral:rRNA from 1 species